rnacentral:rRNA from 1 species
CAGCAGCGCGGUAAUAGUAGGGAGCGAGCGUUAUCCGGAUUUACUGGGUGUAAAGGGCGAGUAGGCGGGCUGGUAAGUUGGAAGUGAAAUGUCGGGGCUUAACCCCGGAACUGCUUUCAAAACUGCUGGUCUUGAGUGAUGGAGAGGCAGGCGGAAUUCCUAGUGUAGCGGUGAAAUGCGUAGAUAUUAGGAGGAACACCAGUGGCGAAGGCGGCCUGCUGGACAUUAACUGACGCUGAGGAGCGAAAGCGUGGGGAGCAAACAGGAUUAGAUACCCUGGUAGUCCACGCCGUAAACGAUGGAUACUAGGUGUGGGAGGUAUUGACCCCUUCCGUGCCGCAGUUAACACAAUAAGUAUCCCACCUGGGGAGUACGACCGCAAGGUUGAAACUCAAAGGAAUUGACGGGGGCCCGCACAAGCAGUGGAGUAUGUGGUUUAAUUCGAAGCAACGCGAAGAACCUUACCUGGUCUUGACAUCCCGGUGACCGGUGUAGAGAUACACCUUUCCCUUCGGGGACAGCGGUGACAGGUGGUGCAUGGUUGUCGUCAGCUCGUGUCG